rnacentral:rRNA from 1 species
GAAUCAACGCUGGCGGCGUGCCUAACACAUGCAAGUCGAACGAGAAAGGGACUUCGGUCCUGAGUACAGUGGCGCACGGGUGAGUAACACGUGACUAACCUACCCUUGAGUGGGAAUAACUUCGAGAAAUCGAGGCUAAUACCGCAUAACACCUACGGGUCAAAGGAGCAAUUCGCUUAAGGGAGGGGUCGGCGGCGAGAUUAGUUAGUUGGGUC